rnacentral:misc_RNA from 1 species
GAUGAAGAACGCAGCGAAAUGCGAUAAGUAAUGUGAAUUGCAGAAUUCCGUGAAUCAUCGAAUCUUUGAACGCACAUUGCGCCCCUUGGUAUCCCGAGGGGCAUGCCUGUUCGAGCGUCAUUUCACCACUCAAGCCUGGCUUGGUGUUGGGCGACGUCCCCUUUAGGGACGCGCCUCGAAACGCUCGGCGGCGUGGCACCGGCUUUAAGCGUAGCAGAAUCUUUCGCUUUGGAAGUCGGGGCCCCGCCUGCCGGAAUACCUACUCGUAAGGUUGACCUCGGAUCAGGCAGGGAUACCCGCUGAACUUAAGCAUAUCAAUAAGCGGAGGA